rnacentral:rRNA from 1 species
UGGGGAAUAUUGCACAAUGGGCGCAAGCCUGAUGCAGCCAUGCCGCGUGUGUGAAGAAGGCCUUCGGGUUGUAAAGCACUUUCAGCGAGGAGGAAGGUGGUGGACUUAAUACAUUCAUCAAUUGACGUUACUCGCAGAAGAAGCACCGGCUAACUCCGUGCCAGCAGUCGCGGUAAUACGGAGGGUGCAAGCGUUAAUCGGAAUUACUGGGCGUAAAGCGCACGCAGGCGGUUUGUUAAGUCAGAUGUGAAAUCCCCGGGCUCAACCUGGGAACUGCAUUUGAAACUGGCAAGCUAGAGUCUCGUAGAGGGGGGUAGAAUUCCAGGUGUAGCGGUGAAAUGCGUAGAGAUCUGGAGGAAUACCGGUGGCGAAGGCGGCCCCCUGGACGAAGACUGACGCUCAGGUGCGAAAGCGUGGGGCAGCAAACAGGAUUAGAUACCCUGGUAGUCCACGCUGUAAAACGAUGUCGAUUUUGGAGGUUGUGCCCUUGAGGCGUGGCUUCCGGAGCUAACGCGUUAAAUCGACCGCCUGGGGAGUACGGCCGCAAGGUUAAAACUCAAAGGAAUUG